UCUCAGCAUCCAGAGCGGCCUCCGCUUCACGCGGUGGCCCGACAACCUGGAGUCGGACCUCCAAGGUGUCCAAACGAUGCGGCUCGAGGAGAAAUACCUCCCGGGCAAUCCAAGAGUCCGAA
rnacentral:ncRNA from 2 species